CUACGGGUCGCUGCAGUGGGGAAUAUUGCACAAUGGGCGAAAGCCUGAUGCAGCAACGCCGCGUGAGGGACGACGGCCUUCGGGUUGUAGACCUCUUUUAGCAGGGAAGAAGCGAAAGUGACGGUACCUGCAGAAAAAGCACCGGCUAACUACGUGCCAGCAGCCGCGGUAAUACGUAGGGUGCAAGCGUUGUCCGGAAUUAUUGGGCGUAAAGAGCUCGUAGGCGGUUUGUCGCGUCUGCUGUGAAAAUCCGAGGCUCAACCUCGGACCUGCAGUGGGUACGGGCAAACUAGAGUGCGGUAGGGGAGAUUGGAAUUCCUGGUGUAGCGGUGGAAUGCGCAGAUAUCAGGAGGAACACCAAUGGCGAAGGCAGAUCUCUGGGCCGUAACUGACGCUGAGGAGCGAAAGCGUGGGGAGCGAACAGGAUUAGAUACCCCCGUAGUC
rnacentral:rRNA from 1 species